AACGAACGCUGGCGGCAGGCUUAACACAUGCAAGUCGAACGGGUGUAGCAAUACAUCAGUGGUAGACGGGUGAGUAACACGUGGGAACCUUCCUAGGGGUACGGAACAACUCAGGGAAACUCAAGCUAAUACCGGAUAAGCCCUUAUGGGGAAAGGUUUACUGCCGAAGGAUCGGCCCGCGUCUGAUUAGCUAGUUGGUGAGGUAAUGGCUCACCAAGGCGACGAUCAGUAGCUGGUCUGAAAGGAUGAUCAGCCACACUGGGACUGAGACACGGCCCAGACUCCUACGGGAGGCAGCAGUGGGGAAUAUUGGACAAUGGGGGCAACCCUGAUCCAGCCAUGCCGCGUGAGUGAUGAAGGCCUUAGGGUUGUAAAGCUCUUUUACCCGGGACGAUAAUGACUGUACCGGGAGAAUAAGCCCCGGCUAACUUCGUGCCAGCCGCCGCAGUAA
rnacentral:rRNA from 1 species